UCCUUCCAGCACCUGAGAUUAUUACUGGUAUUUCUUAAAAUGUAUAAAUGAUGACAGCAAUUAUCAUCCCAAUGAAGAGGAUGGACUUGGUUCUGAGGCUGCUGGUUCCUUCAUUGUUUGGCUUGAUAUGAAUCACAACUAUAAGAU